UCUGAUAAACAAGUUAAUAAACUAAAACUUUCAACAACGGAUCUCUUGGUUCUGGCAUCGAUGAAGAACGCAGCGAAAUGCGAUAAGUAAUGUGAAUUGCAGAAUUCAGUGAAUCAUCGAAUCUUUGAACGCACAUUGCGCCCCUUGGUAUUCCGGGGG
rnacentral:rRNA from 4 species